GAUGAACGCUGACAGAAUGCUUAACACAUGCAAGUCGAAGGGGAAGUGGUGCUUGCACCAUGGCAACCAUGGCGGACGGGUGAGUAACGCGUAAGGGACUUACCUGCUGGACUGGGAUAACAGGGGAAAACUCCUGACAAGACCGGAUAAUGUCAACGACCUGCAUGGCUUUACGAUGAAAGGUGACGCCUUCGGAGAGCCUUGCGUCCUAUUAGCUAGUUGGUGAGGUAAUGGCUCACCAAGGCGAAGAUAGGUAGCCGGCCUGAGAGGGUGGACGGCCACAAGGGGACUGAGAUACGGCCCUGACUCCUACGGGAGGCAGCAGUGGGGAAUAUUGGACAAUGGGGGCAACGCUGAUCCAGCAAUUCUGUGUGCACGAAGAAGGUUUUCGGAUUGAAAAGUGCUUUCAGCAGGGAAGAAGUAAGUGACGGUACCUGCAGAAGAAGCGACGGCUAAAUACGUG
rnacentral:rRNA from 1 species